AUUUUGAGUUUCAUGUGGGAGUUUGCUUUUGUUGUUGUUAUUCCCCCCAAUUUCUUGUGGCUUUUGAUAUUUGAGAACAUUUUCUUUUUGCCAUUUCUUUUGAUGUUUGGCAUUUUAAUACUUGACAACUUUCAACUUUUUGCAUUUUAUUUUGAACAUUUUCAAAACUACCCCAUUUGUAGUAAGGGUGCUUAUAUUUGAAGCAUUAGGAGUCUAUUUUUGCUCCUCUUUUCAUUUGAUGCAUUUUGCAAACUUUUUGACUUUCAUUUCAAUGCUUGAACUCAAAUUUUGAACAAUUUUUGUGCCCAUUCCCUUUGAUGACAAAAAUGUGGUAGAACAUGGAUGAUAGAUUCAUGGUUUCAAGGGUCACCUUGGAAUAAACGCUAGCCAAGGAGUUAUCACACCACAAGGUACUCUUGACUAGGCCUUAAACCAUGGGUCAAAGGGUACUAGCAUGACACAUCCUAGGGUGUUUUACAAGUAUUCUAACAAGCAAAGUCUUAAGAAUAAAAAGCAUCUACUAGGGCCUAUAUACACUAGUCAAGCUUCCCAAGUAGACGGUUUCGCAAAAUUUUCUAAUAUGCAACUACAUGCCAUGAUGCAACUAACAUAUAAACAUCCUAAUGCAAAUGAUUCUACCAACUAAUAUGACAUAUAAACUAAAUGCAAGUCCUAAGUUCACAUUGUUAUACCGCAUCAAUCAAAAUAAAGCCACAUAGUCAUUAACAUAAAGAGGAAAAAGGAGAUUGGAAAGAUCAUACCAUGCGGUCUUCAAUAUCCUCAUGUCUCGGAUGUGGCGUAGUCAAUAAAUGUGAAAAAGGAUGAACAAACACAAUAUAUACAAGACAAUAUAUACAAGACUACAAAAGGAAAUAAACAUGUUUUUGGGUUUUCAAUUUUCAAAUUUUUAUGAUUUUUGAAAUUUUUCAAUUUUUUGGAUUUUUGAAUAAGAGUUAAAUGUUAGAAUUCCCAUCCCCACACUAAUAUGGGCAUUGUCCUCAGUGGCCAAAAUGAUGGAAAUUAUGCAAAGAUGAUGCAUGAUUUCUAUACUAAAUGCAAUCUAUACUAAGCUACACUACAUGAUGCAUGGUUUUUGUUGUGACGGAGAGGAUAAUUUAGAUUACCUCCCGUUGCGUAUGCAUUAUGGUGCGUGUCAUUUAUAUGAUGUUUUACAUCUCUUUUUACACGCAUUUCAGAGCUCAUUUGUGUAAUAUUUGUUGCUUUUCUCCCUAUUUCCGUCUACUUCCGUAUUUUGUACUUUAUUGCAGAAAUGUGAAGAAUUCGACGGGAAAUCAAGCCAAAUCCGCCCCCGAGUAAUCUGCAUUGCAAAUGACGUAAAGGAAUCACUUAAGGAACGAGCUUGGUGCGCGAUCCAAGGCCCAAAAGACAAGUCCACGAAGAAUAAAGAAGUCAAGUAGCAGCUCAUCCGGUCGAUCGACUGGACCCAUCAGUCGAUCGACCAACUAUCGGGAUCCAGAAGCUACUGUUUGCUGACAUCCAGUCGAUCGACCAGCCUGAUUAGUCGAUCGACCAGAUUUCUUUACCAGACGAGAAUUAGAAAGUCGUGAAUCUCAAGGCCCGUGAAGUUUAGGUUUUAGAAAUAAGUUGUUGCGUUUAUUGAUAUAUAACGUAACACCAACAUCUAGUUUUGGAAGGAGGGAAUACAUUAAGUUUCACAUCACAAUAGUUUAGUUUAUCUUCUGAGUAAUUAGGGUUUGAUAUAUCGACUUUAGCAUUGGAAUUUUUGCCCCUUUGUUCUUAAUCUUUCCUCUGGAAUUUUCGGUAUUUAUUCUGCCCUAAUCUUAGUUUAUUGCUUCGCUUUCAUUAAUAGUAUAGAAUUGAUAGUUAAUGCCCCAAAGCCAAUUGUCU
rnacentral:misc_RNA from 1 species